UACGUAGGGGGCGAGCGUUGUCCGGAUUCAUUGGGCGUAAAGAGCUCGUAGGCGGUGUGUCACGUCGGCCGUGAAAACCUGCAGCUUAACUGUGGGCGUGCGGUCGAUACGGGCAUCACUGGAGUUCGGCAGGGGAGACUGGAAUUCCUGGUGUAGCGGUGAAAUGCGCAGAUAUCAGGAGGAACACCGGUGGCGAAGGCGGGUCUCUGGGCCGAUACUGACGCUGAGGAGCGAAAGCGUGGGGAGCAAACAGG
rnacentral:rRNA from 1 species